rnacentral:rRNA from 1 species
AUUGAACGCUGGCGGCAGGCCUAACACAUGCAAGUCGAACGAGUGGCGGACGGGUGAGUAAUGUCUGGGAAACUGCCUGAUGGAGGGGGAUAACUACUGGAAACGGUAGCUACUACCGCAUACCAUCAGAUGUGCCCAGAUGGGAUUAGCUUGUGGGUGGGGUAACGGCUCACCAAGGCGACGAUCCCUAGCUGGUCUGAGAGGAGGACCGGCCACACUGGAACUGAGACACGGCCCAAACUCCUACGGGAGGCGGCGGUGGGGAAUAUGGCCCAAUGGGGGCAAGCCUGAUGAGGCCAUGCCGGGUGUAUGAAGAGGGCCUUCGGGUUGUAAAGUACUUUCGGCGGGGAGGCGUUACCCGCAGAAGAAGCACCGGCUAACUCCGUGCCAGCAGCCGCGGUAAUUC